rnacentral:lncRNA from 1 species
GCGGCGCCGCCGCUGCCCCCGAGCCCGCACGGAGCCCGCUCGGAGCCCGCGGGCCUCGCUGCCACAGGGCGGCGGCCCCCGGCCCGUCCCGCUGCCCGGCGCGGCCCAAAGUUUCCCGGCGGAACGGGGAGCAUGGGCUUCUCCCUGCCUGCAGCACCAGGAGGAGCCUGCUGAGCCAGCACAGGGGGAGGACGAGUGAGCUGCUCUGGGAUGAUGCCCUGGGUGCUUCUGCAUGGCCAUGGAAUAAGGAGCAGCUGACAAGCAAGGCUGGGGGAGCUGUGGAAGGAAAAAAGAGCCCAGAGGAGAAGGAGGAAUACAGUGCAGUCAGCUGGAGCUUUCAUUGGAAGCCACACACCAACCCAGGGAUGAAAGGAUGA